CCUACGGGGGGCUGCAGUGGGGAAUAUUGGACAAUGGGCGAAAGCCUGAUCCAGCAAUGCCGCGUGAAUGAUGAAGGCCUUAGGGUUGUAAAGUUCUUUUAGCAGGGAAGAUAAUGACGGUACCUGCAGAAAAAGCCCCGGCUAACUUCGUGCCAGCAGCCGCGGUAAGACGAAGGGGGCUAGCGUUGUUCGGAAUUACUGGGCGUAAAGAGCGCGUAGGCGGUCUGGUAAGUUGGGAGUGAAAGCCCGGGGCUUAACCUCGGAAUUGCUUUCAAAACUGCCAGGCUAGAGUGUAGUAGGGGAUGAUGGAAUUCCUAGUGUAGAGGUGAAAUUCUUAGAUAUUAGGAGGAACACCGGUGGCGAAGGCGGUCAUCUGGGCUACAACUGACGCUGAGGCGCGAAAGCGUGGGGAGCAAACAGGAUUAGAUACCCUAGUAGUC
rnacentral:rRNA from 1 species